rnacentral:lncRNA from 1 species
AGGCAGCUUCAAGUAUUUUUAUAUGUAGUUAAAAAGGGUGCUCUAAGAAAUCUGUCCCAUGAGGGGCUGAGUGCACUGAAUUUAGGAAUCUGGAGGUUUGGGUACGAGCUGCAGCACAACCACCAGCCCACAGGCCACUUAUGCCACCUACCACUGACAGAUCGUGGUUGAAAUGAACACCCAGCCUGUGCCAGACAUCUCGUCUCCAAAGUACAUCCCUCGAGUAUGGGAUCAACCAAUCAGAGGGUAGGAAGAUGGUUUAUAUCCCACCCUCUCCAUAAUAGCCAGUUGUGA